UACGGAGGGGGCGAGUGUUGUUCGGAAUUACUGGGCGUAAAGGGCGCGCAGGCGGCUUGGCAAGUCAAGUGUGAAAUCCCUCAGCUUAACUGAGGAAUGGCGCUUGAAACUACCUCGCUAGAGGGUGGGAGAGGGAAGUGGAACUCUCGGUGUAGGGGUGAAAUCUGUAGAUAUCGAGAGGAACACCGGUGGCGAAGGCGGCUUCCUGGCCCACAUCUGACGCUGAGGCGCGAAAGCGUGGGGAGCAAACAGG
rnacentral:rRNA from 1 species